UUUUGUAGACCUGAGAUAAACUCUCGAGGCAACUCGGUUUGAGGAGCUGCUGUGCGAAAGCCAGCUCUCCUUGCAUCUCCAGGUCUAUGUUUUUAUAUACCCCAUAAGAAUGUAACAGAAUGUCUUUUAUUGGCCUUUGUGCCUUUAAUCAAAUACAACUUUCAACAACGGAUCUCUUGGCUCUCGCAUCGAUGAAGACCGCAGCGAAAUGCGAUAAGUAAUGUGAAUUGCAGAAUUCAGUGAAUCAUCGAAUCUUUGAACGCACCUUGCGCUCCUUGGUAUUCCGAGGAGCAUGCCUGUUUGAGUGUCAUUAAAUUCUCAACCUUUCUGGUUUUUAUUAACUAGUCAGGCUUGGAUGUGGGAGUUGCGGGCUUCUCAGAAGUCGGCUCUCCUUAAAUGUAUUAGCGAAACCUUUGGUUGACCAUCUCUGGUGUGAUAAUUAUCUACGCCGCUGAGAAUCAUCCUUUAUUAUGAGGUUCUGCUUCUAACCGUCCUCUCCGAGGACAACUCUUGACAUUUUGACCUCAAAUCAGGUAGGACUACCCUGCUGAACUUAAGCAUAUCAAUAAGCGGAGGAAAAGAAACUAACAAGGAUUCCCCUAGUAACUGCGAGUGAAGCGGGAAAAGCUCAAAUUUAAAAUCUGGUAGCCUUCGGUUGCCCGAGUUGUAAUCUAGAGAA
rnacentral:rRNA from 1 species